rnacentral:rRNA from 1 species
UACGGAGGGUGCAAGCGUUAUCCGGAUUCACUGGGUUUAAAGGGUGCGUAGGUGGGUUGGUAAGUCAGUGGUGAAAUCUCCGAGCUUAACUUGGAACUGCCGUUGAUACUAUCAAUCUUGAAUAUCGCGUAGGUAAGCGGAAUAUGUCAUGUAGCGGUGAAAUGCUUAGAUAUGACAUAGAACACCAAUUGCGUAGGCAGCUUACUACACGGUUAUUGACGCUGAGGCACGGAAAGCGUGGGGAGCAAACAGG